rnacentral:lncRNA from 1 species
GGGCGGAGCUUACGUUUUUAUUUGCAUAAGGACAGUCUAUUUGAAGAUGUGUGUGAUAAGGAUGAUUGCCAUUAUAAUUAUAACUGAUUUCUAAUCACAUAUCAGUGUCAUCAAAGGAAUUUACAAAAGAAUGACUGGUCACUUUAUUGAUGAGUUUAUUCUAAAUCACCUAUCUAUAGAUGAACUGGUUUAUUAUGAGCGAAACGGUUAAACUCCGCC